rnacentral:rRNA from 1 species
UACGUAGGGGGCAAGCGUUAUCCGGAUUUACUGGGUGUAAAGGGAGCGCAGACGGAAGAGCAAGUCUGAUGUGAAAUGCGGGGGCUCAACCCCUGAGUUGCAUUGGAAACUGUUAUUCUAGAGUGCAGGAGAGGUAAGUGGAAUUCCUAGUGUAGCGGUGAAAUGCGUAGAUAUUAGGAGGAACACCGGUGGCGAAGGCGGCUUACUGGACUGUAACUGACGUUGAGGCUCGAAAGCGUGGGGAGCAAAC